rnacentral:lncRNA from 1 species
ACCUGCAACAGUUGUCACAUCAAAACUUGUCCCCAGGAGGAAGGAAGCAUUCUCAGCCAAGGGGAUGGAGUAGGGCGCUGAGCUUCUGCCAACCAUGGAAAGGCCAGCCCUUUGGUUCUCACAUCUGAAGAAAACACCACGAAGGUCCCCUGAAAACUGUCCCAUCGGGCUUCCAUCUCACAUCCCGUGAGCUGACGUCUCCCUCUCUUCCUAGCUGUAAUCUCUUUUUAAAAAGAAAUUGCCCAGACCCCUUUGCAUCGAUAUUCUCUUUUGAACAAAACUGUGUAAAUGGAGGUCCCAUGAUUAAUGUUUUGAGACCUACAACAUUUUAAGACAUUUAUGGGGAAAAACUUCUUUCCAAAUGACUUAACGUAGGAGUCCCUUAAGUAUGCUCUUAGACUGACGUUUCUUAAAUCGUGUGUGAACCUCGUUUAUGAGUGGAAAUUUAAUAACCACUGACUCAUAGCUAGAUAAAAGGGACAUGUCUGAGCUGGGCAGCUUAAUGACACAUUCAAACCAGGGGUUCCACGACGGUGCAGAUGUCACACGCACAGAAUCUGUCCGAUAGCGGUUGCACAAGUCAAGAUUAAAGUGAAAGUCUGAACUGAAGCUUGAGGGUGUGGCUGCGGAUAGCAGCGAGGUGCACAAGUGAAAACAGGCAACCAGAGAGAUGUUUCAGGAGAGGCUCUGAGAACAUCUUCCCACAGCGCUCCAAGCAAGGAGGACACCUGUUACCGAGAUCUGGGACACAGGCAUCGAGUUUCUUUCUUUAUCUAUUGGUUCAAGGAACUAACGUCACCACACUGGACAGAAGCAUGGGAUCUCUGGUAGCUUCUUUUCAAGGUGAACAAGGAACUAUACCAAGGUGGAAUAUAGCCACUAAACAGCUUAGAUAGUUGAACAAGGACUUAAUGUCUCAACACAGGACGAACAGCCUUGUUUGUCCCAGAGACACGCCUUAUAAAGAAAGUAUUUAGGGAAGUGAAUAAAGCCAUGUUAUUCAAAGUUUUGAUACACGUUCGUUUAUUACAAUUUUAAGUUUUAGUUACUAGGAAUAACUGAAUAAAACAUACCAGGAGUUAGCAAUAUUCAAUGUGAUUUGCUAAGAGUAAGGAAGGAGAGAAGGCUGUGAUUAGGUUAAGCUAAAUUUUACUAAGAUAAGAAGUACUGUAGAGUCUCUGAUAAAGAACUGCAAGACAGCCCAUGCAGGGCCGCAUCUGAUGGAGAAGAAAAACAGUCACGUGGGGUCUGACACUCACAAGAACAAGGCUUAGAGGGCGGGCGGGCGAGUGAGCAGUGAAAACAGAAGGAUGGGCCAGGCAUGGUGGCAUGUGUCUUUCUUUAAUCUCAGCACUCAGGAGGCAGAGGCUGGGAGUUCAAAGCCAGCCUGCUCUACAUAGUGAGUCCCAGACCAACUAAGGCUACACAGUGAUAUCCUGUCUUAAGCCACACCCUUCUCCUUCCAAAAAAGGAAAGAAUUGAAAGGAGACAAAGUCUAGCCCUCCUGUGGGAUGAGGGGAAUCUACAGUGGGGGCAGGAUCAUCUCACACUUGGACGCUUUCAAGUGGGCAACAGCGUGCAAGAAACUGAUUAUCUGAGGCUAGCAUUUUUUUUUAAAUCUUUUUUUAAACCUUUGCUUUUAUUUCAUGUGUCCAGGUGUCUUGUCUGCCUGUAAGUCUGUGCAUCGCAUGCAUGCAGUGCCUGCAGAGACCAGAAGAGGGCGUACAUCCCUUGGGACUGGAAGUAGAAACUGUUGUGAGCGCUGGGAACCUAACCCAGAACGGCUGGAGGGGAAGGCCAGGGCAGGCAGUGUGCGCUUAACUGCUGGGCCAUCUUUCCAGAUGCCACAUUAUUUUAAUAGCAGUUGGGAUAAGAUCAAGGUAGAAAGAAACAGGAAAAGAUUUAUAUCACAGACUGCCGCAAUAGAGAACAAGAAAAAAAUGUGCUUUAAUUACGUUACCAAUACUGGCAGUUGACAUAAGCUGCAAAGCUAAUUGCCUUACAAAUGGCAAAUGCAGAUAACCACCACCAACUAAUGAACAAUGCCCUAGAGCAGCACUUCUCAACCUUCCUAAUGCCGCGACCCUUUGAUACAGUCCCUCAUGAUGCCUUGACUCCAACUAUAAAGUUGUUUUGUUCUUACUUCAUAACUGUAACUCUGCUACUGUUAUGAAUCAUCUCAGAAAAAUCUGUGUUUUCUGAUGGUCUUAGGUGACUCCUAUAAAAGGAUCGUUCGGCCCCCAGGCUGAGAACCACUGUCCUAAAGCUUCCAGCAUUCUGUUCUGGGGCCAGCUAGCAGCUGGUGCAGCGAUUCCUGCUCAGACAUGGAGGGUCAGAGUUCACUAUUUUGUUCUGUCUAGUUCUAUAUACCAUUUUGUUUUGCCUUUACAAAAACAAGUAAGGGGGUGGAGAGAAAGCUCAUAGAUUAAGCAGUUCCUGCAGAGGACCAGGGUUCAGUUUCCAGCGUCCGCAUGAUGGCUCACAACACUCCUUACCUUAGUUCUAGUGGAGCCAUAGCUCCCUCCUGACUUUCCCAGGUCACAGGCAUGUACGCAGGGCA